rnacentral:rRNA from 1 species
UACAGAGGUCCCAAGCGUUGUUCGGAUUCACUGGGCGUAAAGGGUGCGUAGGCGGUCGGGUAAGUCUGAUGUGAAAUCUCACAGCUUAACUGUGAAACUGCAUUGGAUACUAUCCGGCUCGAGGAAUGGAGGGGAGACUGGAAUACUUGGUGCAGCAGUGAAAUGCGUAGAUAUCAAGUGGAACACCAGUGGCGAAGGCGAGUCUCUGGACAUUUCCUGACGCUGAGGCGCGAAAGCCAGGGGAGCGAACGGG